rnacentral:lncRNA from 1 species
ACUGCACUUAGGCACUGAACUACCUGAAUUUUUAAUUCAGUGACGGAAGGCUGCUGGGUGUAGUCAAGCACUUAAUUUGUCCGUGCGUGUGUCAAGAUGGGAUUGACCACUCUAGUUUAGGAGCUGUGUACAGUCAUGUUUCAAUUUAGCAAAAUCUUGGCCAGGGUAGUCCUAGUGAGGAGUCACAGGACUAAUUGAGUUGAGCACGAUUCGGAUGAUAUCAUCAGGGUUGACAGUUU